GAUGAACGCUGGCGGCGUGCCUAAUACAUGCAAGUCGAGCGAACAGACGAGGAGCUUGCUCCUCUGACGUUAGCGGCGGACGGGUGAGUAACACGUGGAUAACCUACCUAUAAGACUGGGAUAACUUCGGGAAACCGGAGCUAAUACCGGAUAACAUGUUGAACCGCAUGGUUCAACAGUGAAAGACGGUUUUGCUGUCACUUAUCGAUGGAUCCGCGUCGCAUUAGCUAGUUGGUAAGGUAACGGCUUACCAAGGCAACGAUGCGUAGCCGACCUGAGAGGGUGAUCGGCCACCCUGGAACGGAGACACGGUCCAUGCUCCUACGGGAGGCAGCAGUAGGGAAUCUGCCGCAAUGGGCGAAAGCCUGACGGAGCAACGCCGCGUGAGUGAAGAAGGUCUUCGGAUCGUAAAACUCUGUUAUUAGGGAAGAACAAAUGUGUAAGUAACUAUGCACGUCUUGACGGUACCUAAUCAGAAAGCCACGGCUAACUACGUG
rnacentral:rRNA from 1 species